rnacentral:rRNA from 1 species
AUAGUCCCCGGGGAGUCGUCAACCAGGCUUUGAUCCGGGGGUUUCCGAAUGGGGAAACCCGGCAGUCGUCAUGGGCUGUCACCCUUGUCUGAACACAUAGGGCAAGUGGAGGGAACGCGGGGAAGUGAAACAUCUCAGUACCCGCAGGAAGAGAAAACAACCGUGAUUCCGGGAGUAGUGGCGAGCGAAACCGGAUGAGGCUAAACCGUAUACGUGUGAGACCCGGCAGGGGUUGCGUAUGCGGGGUUGUGGGAUCUCUCUUCCACGGUCUGCCGGCCGUGGGACGAGUCAGAAACCGUUGAUGUAGGCGAAGGACAUGCGAAAGGUCCGGCGUAAAGGGUAAGACCCCCGUAGUCGAAACGUCAGCGGCUCGUUUGAGAGACACCCAAGUAGCACGGGGCCCGAGAAAUCCUGUGUGAAUCUGGCGGGACCACCCGCUUAGCCUAAAUAUUCCCUGGUGACCGAUAGCGGAUAGUACCGUGAGGGAAUGGUGAAAAGUACCGCGGGAGCGGAGUGAAAUAGUACCUGAAACCGUGUGCCUACAAGCCGUGGGAGCGUCGGAACAAGGCUUGCCUUGUUCUCGUGACUGCGUGCCUUUUGAAGAAUGAGCCUGCGAGUUUGCGGUGUGUUGCGAGGUUAACCCGUGUGGGGAAGCCGUAGCGAAAGCGAGUCCGAAUAGGGCGUUUCAGUAGCACGCUCAAGACCCGAAGCGGAGUGAUCUAGCCAUGGGCAGGUUGAAGCGGAGGUAAGACUUCGUGGAGGACCGAACCCACCAGGGUUGAAAACCUGGGGGAUGACCUGUGGUUAGGGGUGAAAGGCCAAUCAAACUCCGUAUUAGCUGGUUCUCCCCGAAAUGCAUUUAGGUGCAGCGUCGUGUGUUUCUUGCCGGAGGUAGAGCACUGGAUAGGCGAUGGGCCCUACCGGGUUACUGACCUUAGCCAAACUCCGAAUGCCGGUAAGUGAGAGCGCGGCAGUGAGACUGUGGGGGAUAAGUUCCAUGGUCGAGAGGGAAACAGCCCAGAGCAUCGACUAAGGCCCCUAAGGGUACGCUAAGUGGAAAAGGAUGUGGAGUCGCAGAGCCACCCAGGAGGUUGCCUUGGAACCACCCCCCCUUGAAAGAGUGCGUAAUAGCUCACUGGUCAAGUGAUUCCGCGCCGACAAUGUAGCGGGGCUCAAGCGUACCGCCGAAGUCGUGUCAUUGACACAAUAGGCCCAACGGGGGUGGGGAUGGGUAGGGGAGCGUCGUGUGCCGGGUGAAGCAGCACCGGAAGGUAGUUGUGGACGGUUCACGAGUGAGAAUGCAGGCAUGAGUAGCGAUUCACACGUGAGAAACGUGUGCGCCGAUUGACUAAGGGUUCCUGGGUCAAGCUGAUCUGCCCAGGGUAAGUCGGGACCUAAGGCGAGGCCGACAGGCGUAGUCGAUGGAUAACCGGUUGAUAUUCCGGUACCCGCUGUGAAGCGUCAAACAUCGAGCAUCGUGAUGCUAAGGCCGUGAAGCCGCCCUGGAGCCUUCGGGCAAAGGGGAGUGGUGGAGCCGCUGAACCAAGCGGUUAGUAGGUGAGUGAUGGGGUGACGCAGGAAGGUAGUCCAUCCCGGGCGGUGGUUGUCCCGGGGUAAGGGUGUAGGCCGUGAUCUAGGCAAAUCCGGAUCACACAAGGCUGAGACCUGAUGCCGAGCCGAUUGUGGUGAAGUGGAUGAUCCUAUGCUGUCGAGAAAAGCCUCUAGCGAGUUUCAUGGCGGCCCGUACCCUAAACCGACUCAGGUGGUCAGGUAGAGAAUACCGAGGCGUUCGGGUGAACUAUGGUUAAGGAACUCGGCAAAAUGCCCCCGUAACUUCGGGAGAAGGGGGGCCACACUCGGUGAUCCGAUUUACUCGGUGAGCUGGGGGUGGCCGCAGAGACCAGCGAGAAGCGACUGUUUACUAAAAACACAGGUCCGUGCGAAGCCGUAAGGCGAUGUAUACGGACUGACGCCUGCCCGGUGCUGGAACGUUAAGGGGACCGGUUAGCUCAGAUUCGUCUGGGCGAAGCUGAGAACUUAAGCGCCAGUAAACGGCGGUGGUAACUAUAACCAUCCUAAGGUAGCGAAAUUCCUUGUCGGGUAAGUUCCGACCUGCACGAAUGGCGUAACGACUUCUCGACUGUCUCAACCAUAGGCCCGGUGAAAUUGCACUACGAGUAAAGAUGCUCGUUUCGCGCAGCAGGACGGAAAGACCCCGGGACCUUUACUACAGUUUGAUAUUGGUGUUCGGUUCGGCUUGUGUAGGAUAGCUGGGAGACUGUGAACUCUGGACGCCAGUUCAGGGGGAGUCGUCGUUGAAAUACCAGUCUGGUCGUGCUGGAUGUCUAACCUGGGUCCGUGAUCCGGAUCAGGGACAGUGUCUGAUGGGUAGUUUAACUGGGGCGGUUGCCUCCUAAAGAGUAACGGAGGCGCCCAAAGGUUCCCUCAGCCUGGUUGGCAAUCAGGUGUUGAGUGUAAGUGCACAAGGGAGCUUGACUGUGAGACCGACGGGUCGAGCAGGGACGAAAGUCGGGACUAGUGAUCCGGCGGUGGCUUGUGGAAGCGCCGUCGCUCAACGGAUAAAAGGUACCCCGGGGAUAACAGGCUGAUCUUCCCCAAGAGUCCAUAUCGACGGGAUGGUUUGGCACCUCGAUGUCGGCUCGUCGCAUCCUGGGGCUGGAGUCGGUCCCAAGGGUUGGGCUGUUCGCCCAUUAAAGCGGUACGCGAGCUGGGUUUAGAACGUCGUGAGACAGUUCGGUCCCUAUCCGCUGUGCGC